GGGUUGUGAGGUUAAGCGACUAAGCGUACACGGUGGAUGCCCUGGCAGUCAGAGGCGAUGAAGGACGUGCUAAUCUGCGAUAAGCGUCGGUAAGGUGAUAUGAACCGUUAUAACCGGCGAUUUCCGAAUGGGGAAACCCAGUGUGAUUCGUCACACUAUCAUUAACUGAAUCCAUAGGUUAAUGAGGCGAACCGGGGGAACUGAAACAUCUAAGUACCCCGAGGAAAAGAAAUCAACCGAGAUUCCCCCAGUAGCGGCGAGCGAACGGGGAGCAGCCCAGAGCCUGAAUCAGUGUGUGUGUUAGUGGAAGCGUCUGGAAAGGCGCGCGAUACAGGGUGACAGCCCCGUACACAAAAAUGCACAUGCUGUGAGCUCGAUGAGUAGGGCGGGACACGUGGUAUCCUGUCUGAAUAUGGGGGGACCAUCCUCCAAGGCUAAAUACUCCUGACUGACCGAUAGUGAACCAGUACCGUGAGGGAAAGGCGAAAAGAACCCCGGCGAGGGGAGUGAAAAAGAACCUGAAACCGUGUACGUACAAGCAGUGGGAGCACGCUUAGGCGUGUGACUGCGUACCUUUUGUAUAAUGGGUCAGCGACUUAUAUUCUGUAGCAAGGUUAACCGAAUAGGGGAGCCGAAGGGAAACCGAGUCUUAACUGGGCGUUAAGUUGCAGGGUAUAGACCCGAAACCCGGUGAUCUAGCCAUGGGCAGGUUGAAGGUUGGGUAACACUAACUGGAGGACCGAACCGACUAAUGUUGAAAAAUUAGCGGAUGACUUGUGGCUGGGGGUGAAAGGCCAAUCAAACCGGGAGAUAGCUGGUUCUCCCCGAAAGCUAUUUAGGUAGCGCCUCGUGAAUUCAUCUCCGGGGGUAGAGCACUGUUUCGGCAAGGGGGUCAUCCCGACUUACCAACCCGAUGCAAACUGCGAAUACCGGAGAAUGUUAUCACGGGAGACACACGGCGGGUGCUAACGUCCGUCGUGAAGAGGGAAACAACCCAGACCGCCAGCUAAGGUCCCAAAGUCAUGGUUAAGUGGGAAACGAUGUGGGAAGGCCCAGACAGCCAGGAUGUUGGCUUAGAAGCAGCCAUCAUUUAAAGAAAGCGUAAUAGCUCACUGGUCGAGUCGGCCUGCGCGGAAGAUGUAACGGGGCUAAACCAUGCACCGAAGCUGCGGCAGCGACGCUUAUGCGUUGUUGGGUAGGGGAGCGUUCUGUAAGCCUGUGAAGGUGUACUGUGAGGUAUGCUGGAGGUAUCAGAAGUGCGAAUGCUGACAUAAGUAACGAUAAAGCGGGUGAAAAGCCCGCUCGCCGGAAGACCAAGGGUUCCUGUCCAACGUUAAUCGGGGCAGGGUGAGUCGACCCCUAAGGCGAGGCCGAAAGGCGUAGUCGAUGGGAAACAGGUUAAUAUUCCUGUACUUGGUGUUACUGCGAAGGGGGGACGGAGAAGGCUAUGUUGGCCGGGCGACGGUUGUCCCGGUUUAAGCGUGUAGGCUGGUUUUCCAGGCAAAUCCGGAAAAUCAAGGCUGAGGCGUGAUGACGAGGCACUACGGUGCUGAAGCAACAAAUGCCCUGCUUCCAGGAAAAGCCUCUAAGCAUCAGGUAACAUCAAAUCGUACCCCAAACCGACACAGGUGGUCAGGUAGAGAAUACCAAGGCGCUUGAGAGAACUCGGGUGAAGGAACUAGGCAAAAUGGUGCCGUAACUUCGGGAGAAGGCACGCUGAUAUGUAGGUGAAGUCCCUCGCGGAUGGAGCUGAAAUCAGUCGAAGAUACCAGCUGGCUGCAACUGUUUAUUAAAAACACAGCACUGUGCAAACACGAAAGUGGACGUAUACGGUGUGACGCCUGCCCGGUGCCGGAAGGUUAAUUGAUGGGGUCAGCGCAAGCGAAGCUCUUGAUCGAAGCCCCGGUAAACGGCGGCCGUAACUAUAACGGUCCUAAGGUAGCGAAAUUCCUUGUCGGGUAAGUUCCGACCUGCACGAAUGGCGUAAUGAUGGCCAGGCUGUCUCCACCCGAGACUCAGUGAAAUUGAACUCGCUGUGAAGAUGCAGUGUACCCGCGGCAAGACGGAAAGACCCCGUGAACCUUUACUAUAGCUUGACACUGAACAUUGAGCCUUGAUGUGUAGGAUAGGUGGGAGGCUUUGAAGUGUGGACGCCAGUCUGCAUGGAGCCGACCUUGAAAUACCACCCUUUAAUGUUUGAUGUUCUAACGUUGACCCGUAAUCCGGGUUGCGGACAGUGUCUGGUGGGUAGUUUGACUGGGGCGGUCUCCUCCUAAAGAGUAACGGAGGAGCACGAAGGUUGGCUAAUCCUGGUCGGACAUCAGGAGGUUAGUGCAAUGGCAUAAGCCAGCUUGACUGCGAGCGUGACGGCGCGAGCAGGUGCGAAAGCAGGUCAUAGUGAUCCGGUGGUUCUGAAUGGAAGGGCCAUCGCUCAACGGAUAAAAGGUACUCCGGGGAUAACAGGCUGAUACCGCCCAAGAGUUCAUAUCGACGGCGGUGUUUGGCACCUCGAUGUCGGCUCAUCACAUCCUGGGGCUGAAGUAGGUCCCAAGGGUAUGGCUGUUCGCCAUUUAAAGUGGUACGCGAGCUGGGUUUAGAACGUCGUGAGACAGUUCGGUCCCUAUCUGCCGUGGGCGCUGGAGAACUGAGGGGGGCUGCUCCUAGUACGAGAGGACCGGAGUGGACGCAUCACUGGUGUUCGGGUUGUCAUGCCAAUGGCACUGCCCGGUAGCUAAAUGCGGAAGAGAUAAGUGCUGAAAGCAUCUAAGCACGAAACUUGCCCCGAGAUGAGUUCUCCCUGACUCCUUGAGAGUCCUGAAGGAACGUUGAAGACGACGACGUUGAUAGGCCGGGUGUGUAAGCGCAGCGAUGCGUUGAGCUAACCGGUACUAAUGAACCGUGAGGCUUAACCUUACAACGCCGAAG
rnacentral:rRNA from 1 species